CCUACGGGAGGCAGCAGUGAGGAAUAUUGGUCAAUGGGCGUAAGCCUGAACCAGCCAAGUCGCGUGAGGGAUGACGGUCCUAUGGGUUGUAAACCUCUUUUAUAAGGGAGUAAAGCGCGCGACGUGUACCGUUUUGUAUGUACCUUAUGAAUAAGGCUCGGCUAACUCCGUGCCAGCCGCCGCGGUAAUACGGAGGAUGCGAGCGGUAUCCGGAUUUAUUGGGUUUAAAGGGUGCGUAGGCGGGCGGUUAAGUCAGCGGUAAAAGUCCGGGGCUCAACCCCGGCGAGCCGUUGAAACUGGCUGUCUUGAGAUGGCGAGAGGUAUGCGGAAUGCGCGGUGUAGCGGUGAAAUGCUUAGAUAUUACGCAGAACUCCGAUUGCGAAGGCAGCAUACCGGCGGCGAUCUGACGCUGAGGCACGAAAGCGUGGGUAUCGAACAGGAUUAGAUACCCGUGUAGUC
rnacentral:rRNA from 1 species